GUGCACAGCCAUAUCACCCUGCAGCACAAAACCGGUUACUCACUGAAGCUAAGCAGGGCUGAGCCUGGUUUGUACCUGGAUGGGAGACCCCUAGGGAACACUAGGUUGCUGUGGGAA
ensembl:rRNA 5S_rRNA 5S ribosomal RNA